GAUGAACGCUGGCGGCGUGCCUAAUACAUGCAAGUCGAGCGAACGGACGAGAAGCUUGCUUCUCUGAUGUUAGCGGCGGACGGGUGAGUAACACGUGGAUAACCUACCUAUAAGACUGGGAUAACUUCGGGAAACCGUAUCUAAUACCGGAUAAUAUUUUGAACCGCAUGGUUCAAAAGUGAAAGACGUUCUUGCUGUCACUUAUAGAUGGAUCCGCGCUGCAUUAGCUAGUUGGUAAGGUAACGGCUUACCAAGGCAACGAUGCAUAGCCGACCUGAGAGGGUGAUCGGCCACACUGGAACUGAGACACGGUCCAGACUCCUACGGGAGGCAGCAGUAGGGAAUCUGCCGCAAUGGGCGAAAGCCUGACGGAGCAACGCCGCGUGAGUGAUGAGGGUCUUCGGAUCGUAAACCUUUGUUAUUAGGAAGGAACAUAUGUGUAAAUAACUGUGCAGAUCUUGACGGUCCCUAAUAAGAAAGCCACGGCUAACUACGU
rnacentral:rRNA from 1 species